rnacentral:rRNA from 1 species
AAUAGAUACCCUGGUAGUCCACGCCGUAAACGAUGAGUGCUAAGUGUUGGGGGGUUUCCGCCCUUCAGUGCUGCAGCAAACGCAUUAAGCACUCCGCCUGGGGAGUACGACCGCAAGGUUGAAACUCAAAGGAAUUGACGGGGGCCCGCACAAGCGGUGGAGCAUGUGGUUUAAUUCGAAGCAACGCGAAGAACCUUACCAGGUCUUGACAUCCUUUGACCACUCUAGAGAUAGAGCUUCCCCUUCGGGGGCAAAGUGACAGGUGGUGCAUGGUUGUCGUCAGCUCGUGUCGUGAGAUGUUGGGUUAAGUCCCGCAACGAGCGCAACCCUUAUUGUUAGUUGCCAUCAUUUAGUUGGGCACUCUAGCGAGACUGCCGGUGACAAACCGGAGGAAGGUGGGGAUGACGUCAAAUCAUCAUGCCCCUUAUGACCUGGGCUACACACGUGCUACAAUGGGAAGUACAACGAGUUGCGAAGUCGCGAGGCUAAGCUAAUCUCUUAAAGCUUCUCUCAGUUCGGAUUGUAGG